rnacentral:sRNA from 1 species
ACUUUUGUUAUUACCCUGGUAUUUGAUGGACGUUUUUAUGUGAACAGAGAGUUUAUUUGUGUGAAAAUUAAUCCUUGGGCCUUGAACUUUAAACAAAGUGAGAAGUGAUAUGCGCUGGGAGGAUUCGUUAUAGUAUACAAGACUUUGUAUUGAAAAGUAAGUUUAUAUUCAUUCUUAGUUUAUAUGUGGAUCACUUUCUCAUCGGCGCCCAAGGUACGGACUUUAGAAAAACUGGUUUGACACGGAUUGUUGUCAACAUGGGAGAGCAAACUGUGGUUGGAGUUAUCGGACAUUCUUAUGUGAAGCGGUUAGAACGUUUUUCAUUGCAACACCCAGUGUAUAAGAACUUGUGUUUGAAUGAAGAUGUAUACAAAGUUUGUUUUCGUAGUCAGGGAGGUUUGACAAUCCGUGGUCUGGCUAACUCGCCGAAGCUGUGCACAUUUACCUCAGUUCCGAUAUUGUGUUUUUUGGACAUAGGGGGAAAUGAUGCUACAACUCGUGCAGCACUUGAUAUUGCUCAGGACAUUGUUGCAUAUGCGAACUAUCUUGUGCAUGGACUUGGUGUUGUUAACGUGGUAAUCGGGCAGUUGUUGCGCCGCGACCCACGGAAGUCCCCGGCCGGUUAUAACGACGAAGUGUUAAAAAUAAACACACACUUACAACACUUAACUUUGGGGCUUCAUCAUAUUCAUUUUUGGAGAAACAGAGGAUUUUGGGCAGAUCUGUAACACCUGGGGCGAAGAGCUUCCGUACAUUUUAACUGAUAAACAUAAAUAUUUAUUGUGUUUUAUUGCAAAGGAUGAAUUGACUUUCGGGCGAAUUUCUCUUUAUCGGGUUCAACUGACUUUUUCUUUGUGAGACAUGCAAUCCACGCAAAAAAUGAUCAUAUUCACUUACAUACCAGAAUGAAAAUGCACUCGAACUCGUGCAAAAAACUGUAACGAUCCAUUUUGAGAUUGUAAUGUAUCUCCAUGGGAAGGAGUAGGUAAAACAAAAUAACUAUGUAAAGAACACGAGGAACUGCUGCCCCCAACAGUAAAAAUAAACUGUAAAGGAACGCUGCUAAGUGGAACAGUGGAUGACGAGUCUGUAAAAUCCUCAAUCUGUAGAGCCACGGCGUAAUUUCCAGAAGGCAAGGCGGCGUUGAUAGAAAAUCUACAUUUCGUCUGAAGAAUAAAAAAAAUGUAUUUGAUUUAUAAGUGCGUUACGGAAAAAUACGACUCAGUCUUACACCAAGAUUAAACAGAAGGAGUACUU